AAGACCUUGCGCUUUUGGAGCGGCCGAUGCCUGAUUAGCUUGUUGGUAAGGUAAAAGCUUACCAAGGCUUCGAUCAGUAGCUGGUCUGAGAGGACGGCCAGCCACACUGGGACUGAGACACGGCCCAGACUCCUACGGGAGGCAGCAGUGGGGAAUUUUGGACAAUGGGGGCAACCCUGAUCCAGCCAUGCCGCGUGAGUGAAGAAGGCCUUCGGGUUGUAAAGCUCUUUCAGCCGGAACGAAACGGUUACGGUUAAUACCCGUGAUUACUGACGGUACCGGAAGAAGAAGCACCGGCUAACUACGUGCCAGCAGCCGCGGUAAUACGUAGGGUGCGAGCGUUAAUCGGAAUUACUGGGCGUAAAGCGUGCGCAGGUGGUUUUGUAAGUCAGAUGUGAAAUCCCCGGGCUUAACCUGGGAACU
rnacentral:rRNA from 1 species